rnacentral:rRNA from 1 species
UUCAUAGAGUGUAAAGGCAUAAGGGAGCUUGACUGCGAGACCUACAAGUCGAGCAGGGUCGAAAGACGGACUUAGUGAUCCGGUGGUUCCGCAUGGAAGGGCCAUCGCUCAACGGAUAAAAGCUACCCCGGGGAUAACAGGCUUAUCUCCCCCAAGAGUUCACAUCGACGGGGAGGUUUGGCACCUCGAUGUCGGCUCAUCGCAUCCUGGGGCUGUAGUCGGUCCCAAGGGUUGGGCUGUUCGCCCAUUAAAGCGGUACGCGAGCUGGGUUCAGAACGUCGUGAGACAGUUCGGUCCCUAUCCGUCGUGGGCGUAGGAAAUUUGAGAGGAGCUGUCCUUAGUACGAGAGGACCGGGAUGGACAUACCUCUGGUGUACCAGUUGUCGUGCCAACGGCAUAGCUGGGUAGCUAUGUGUGGACGGGAUAAGUGCUGAAAGCAUCUAAGCAUGAAGCCCCCCUCAAGAUGAGAUUUCCUAACUUCGGUUAUAAGAUCCCUCAAAGAUGAUGAGGUUAAUAGGUUCGAGGUGGAAGCAUGGUGACAUGUGGAGCUGACGAAUACUAAUCGAUCGAAGACUUAAUCAAAUU